GGAAGGGGUUUUAUUUAUUAGAUAAAGAACCAAUAUUUUUGGUGACUCAUAAUAACUUUACGGAUCACAUUAUGUGACAUAUCAUUCAAGUUUCUGACCUAUCAGCUUUAGACGGUAGGGUAUUGGCCUACCGUGGCUAUGACGGGUAACGGGGAAUUAGGGUUCGAUUCCGGAGAGGGAGCCUGAGAAACGGCUACCACAUCUAAGGAAGGCAGCAGGCGCGCAAAUUACCCAAUCCUAAUACAGGGAGGUAGUGACAAGAAAUAACAAUACAGGACCUUACGGUUUUGUAAUUGGAAUGAGUUAAGUAUAAACCCCUUAACAAGUAUCAAUUGGAGGGCAAGUCUGGUGCCAGCAGCCGCGGUAAUUCCAGCUCCAAUAGCGUAUAUUAAAGUUGUUGCAGUUAAAAAGCUCGUAGUUAAUUUUCUGUUAAUUUUUAUAUACAAUACUACGGUAUUUAUAUAAUAUUAACAUAAUUCAUAUUACUUUUUAGUAUAUGAAACUUUACUUUGAGAAAAUUAGAGUGCUUAAAGCAGGCUAUUGCCUUGAAUACUCCAGCAUGGAAUAAUAUUAAGGAUUUUUAUUCUUCUUAUUGGUUCUAGAAUAAAAAUAAUGAUUAAUAGGGACAGUUGGGGGCAUUUGUAUUUAACAGUCAGAGGUGAAAUUCUUAGAUUUGUUAAAGACAAACUACUGCGAAAGCAUUUGCCAAGGAUGUUUUCAUUAAUCAAGAACGAAAGUUAGGGGAUCGAAGACGAUCAGAUACCGUCGUAGUCUUAACCAUAAACUAUGCCAACUAGAGAUUGGAGGUUGUUCCUUACUCCUUCAG
rnacentral:rRNA from 1 species